rnacentral:rRNA from 1 species
AGAAUAAAAAAUAGUGGGGUAGUAGAAACACACUAAACCUAUAAAGCUUGGCAGUUAUUAUUUAACAGAGAAACUUGUUUUUUAAUCGACAACACUCGAUAAAUUUAACUUAUAAAUUUAAAGCUUAUAUACCGCCGUUACAGAAACAAAAAAUUAAAUAUCAUAAUAAAAAUCUUUAAAAAAUCAGGUCAUGGUAUAGCCCAUAAAUAAGUAAAAAUUAGUUACAAAUAAAAAAAAUUUAAGGAAGUUUUAUUAAAAAACAAACAAUAAAUAGAAUCUAUAAACAAUAAUAAAUUAAAAAUAAAUAAUGAAAUAAAAAAUAAUAAUGC